AGUGAACGCUGGCGGUAGGCCUAACACAUGCAAGUCGAACGGCAGCACAGUAAGAGCUUGCUCUUACGGGUGGCGAGUGGCGGACGGGUGAGGAAUACAUCGGAAUCUACUUUUUCGUGGGGGAUAACGUAGGGAAACUUACGCUAAUACCGCAUCCGACCUACGGGUGAAAGCAGGGGAUCUUCGGACCUUGCGCGAUUGAUUGAGCCGAUGUCGGAUUAGCUAGUUGGCGGGGUAAAGGCCCACCAAGGCGACGAUCCGUAGCUGGUCUGAGAGGAUGAUCAGCCACACUGGAACUGAGACACGGUCCAGACUCCUACGGGAGGCAGCAGUGGGGAAUAUUGGACAAUGGGCGCAAGCCUGAUCCAGCCAUACCGCGUGGGUGAAGAAGGCCUUCGGGUUGUAAAGCCCUUUUGUUGGGAAAGAAAAGCAGCAGGUUAAUACCCCGCUGUUCUGACGGUACCCAAAGAAUAAGCACCGGCUAACUUCGUG
rnacentral:rRNA from 1 species